ACUUUGUGGUGAACAGAUUCGGUUGGCUAGCAGAACAGAUUGCAGUCAUCCCACGGGUCAAACCAGAGAAAAAUUGUGGCUCAGGGAAAACUGGAGCUGUGACCUGGAGCGCAUCACCUGAAAAACAAUUUGGUGUCUUCUGCUUUAAUGACUCAGCUCUAUCAGAUCAGGACGAGACAGUGACAACGUUAGCAGCCGGCCUGCCAUCAUCCCCAGCCACCAGCUCACAGGCGGCGCUGACCCGGUCUUCAUCCCCUCUCACAACUUUGGUCACAUCAACAAGGUCUCCACCAUCAACAGAAGUAACCACUCGCCCUAAGGAGACAUCCUUAGAUUUUAAACUCCUGAUGGAGACAACAAGAACUUCCUCCCCCUCCUCCCCAUCACCUAAAACCGAUCCUCCACAUCACCUUAUAACCUCCAAAAAGGCUGAGGUCAGUUUGGAGUUCCUGACUUCCCCUCAGGCAGCAAAGCCUCCACUAGGAGCUGGACCUACAGCGCUGCUCAGUGUCGGGCUUGUUCUGCUGCUCCUGAUAGCAGCAGGUGUCGGGUGGUACUGCAGACCAAGACCUUUUGGUUGGCGUGGCAGACUGCUGAAUGAUGACACAGAGACAGAGAUGUGGAAGAAAACUGACAUAUACUGUGAACCUGAAGCAGACCUAGAUGAAGAUGAAGUAGACAAAACAUACUCAAGCAACAUCACCCUGUGUGUGGAUCCGUGUUUAAAUCAAACUCUGGAUUAG
rnacentral:lncRNA from 1 species